UUAAUUCUCCCUUAAGGCAUCAGCAGUGAUUAAAGUAAACAGUGUUCUAUUAUUUCUAAUGUACAUGCACGCCAGAGAAAAGGCCCAAAUCUUGGCUUCCUUCACAGGGACUGCUCCGUGCCAGACUGCUAGUACAAAGAAACUUCAAAGAACAUUUUGGUAAUGCCUGACAUUUCCCUCAUUUUGAGACAAUUUCUGGCUAUUAAAGCAUGGAUGCCCUGGACAAGCAAGCAUCUCUGAAGCUUCACUCCAGUAUUUGCAGUAUGCACACUGCUUUUAAGGUACAGCAUUUUUCACAAGGCAAAUGUGGGAGAAAGAAAACAUGAUGAGAAAGAUCUACAUUCCUCAGUGGUUUUAUUCUUCUUUAGACCUCACCUAAAUUGACUACAAAAGGCUGUGCCAUCUGGGGAUCUUCUCUUCUCCCCUGAUCAAUGAUAGUGAGACCUGGACCAUAGCUUCUACUGACAUAUGGGCACAGGCUGCUGGUGACUCUCUUGAAGAAGCACUCUACAAAGACAACGUGCUACUCAAAUUUGAAAAGCAUCUAAACCUGGGGCAAGACAAGGACUACUAAAUAGGUAAUUAAGUCAUAUCAUUGUACUGAACAGCAUCUGUAGGCAUGUUGCCUGCUUUCUUGACUGCCAAAGACAGUAUAUCGUUCAGGAAUUUGAGUCUUUGCAGGAAGUCUCUGACCAUUUCCUCAGACAUGAAGGUGACCAACAUCUCACAUCAUCAAGAGAAUACACAUUUUUGCUGUGUGAAGACAGAAAAUUAAAUACAAUCUCAAGAGAAUUAACUUUUGUUGCUGCUUACUAGUCACACACACAGUAUGUGUGGCAUUCACAAAGGCUUCAGAAGCUGAAUAAUAUGUAUACACAAAUACAUAUAUAUAAAUUAAGGUCUGAGAUUCAUUGACACUUACCUUAAAAAACAACAACAAAAAAGCCAAACUUUUAACAUUACGAAAGAUUUUCUAUUCUAACUUAUUGCAGAUGAUAUGGCUGUGACUCACACUCUCCUAAAAAACAGUUGCAAUAGUACUGCCUCCUCAAGUCUUGGCAGACCUGUCAAGAGCCAGCCAUGGACACCAUAAGCUCUGCCACUCCAGUCCUGGAAGUUCUGGCACAGGAACCUGUCCUGCCUCUGUGUUUCAGGCCAGCGAAGUCCAGCCUUUCUCUCAGUUGGUGUUUCACUCUGAUCUGGACACAAGAUCUAGUCUAGCCUAUUCAAAUCAAGCGUGGGCCCACCAUCUACACGUUACCACCCUUCUGACCUGUGGUAACAGCAUCCAUAUAAGACUCAGUAGACCAGACCAUUUUUUGGCCUUUCGACUGCUCCAGUUCAGUCUGAUGUAUCCGCACAAACCCAUCCGCGUCUGGGGUGUAAAUGAAUGAUUCUCCAUUUCUACUGCAACCUCUACAGUGGGGGAAGCACUCUCCAGCAGAGAGGCCUAGGGGCCAGGAUUGACUUAAAUCAGCUCAACAAGAAGCUAUUUGGAAUAAUAACUUGAAGAGGAGGAACUAUGCAGUUAAUGGAGAACGGGGGCACUCAGAACACCUUCUCUGUCUUGGCUAUAGCCUCCCUGAAAUUGAAUCAGAAGGACCUCUGUUGCUAUAAGCAGUUUUACAUUAUGAGUUUCAUGUAAAUACUUGCUCAUGCUAAAUGCUUAUAGACACAUUUAUACGAAAUGAAGAACACCGCCACGGUGACAGUGACCGUAGUUCUGUCUGAUACUGGUUUUACUGAAGCAGCAUGUACGUGCACACUUCCUGAAGAGAAGCAGCGUCUCUAGGAUCAACUCUCAUCUGGCACAAGAGCAGAGUAGGGAAGAUAUUUGCAACAUGAUCUUGCAUCACCCACAGAUUUGAUAUGUUGACAGGAAUUAUCUUGUCAGAGGAGCAGGCAACAAAAUCAUAAAUCUCACCUUGUAGAGCACAUUACGUGCUUGAGGAAGACUUUGUGACCCAUCUUUCUGCCCUUAGGGAUCCCAUGUUUGGUCAAAACAUCUACUUUGAAUCAAUGCCUGCAUGUUAUAGUCUUUUACCCACCCUGUUUCUUGAACAUCUUAAUAGGCUAUAAUUUUUUUUCUCAUCACUUAAGAUUUUGAGGGAGGAAAGAAGGAGGUGGUGGGGGAAGGGUAUGAUUUUGUUUGUAAAUUCAGAUGAGUUUUAAUGCUGAUGCAUUUGAUAGAUCUAAAUGAUAGUAAAUACAAACAAAACUGUUUCAUCUCCCCACCCUUGCUCCCAUUUUAUGUGAAUUAACAUAAUACACACUAUCGGGACUGCUGAUCCAUGUUUUACUGUGAUUUCCAGGCCUGGAAAAGUAUAUUGCUGUGGAAUUCAAAAGUGUCUGGUGUUGAUGAACAACCUAGCUAUGGCUUUUUAAGCUGCAUUUUGUUCACAAGAAUUCAUACUUCUUGCUCUACAGAUAAAGAUAUUUCUGCAAACACUGAACUACAGAUACUCCUAUUUGACAGACCCUACCUUUCCAACCUUUUAGUCCAUUAAAACCCAGUAGCAGUCAUUACCAUAGCGUUAUGUAUGUACAUCAGCUAGUAUACUGAAUAAGAUUUAAAACUACUGAAUACUUUCCUCUUUUCUCUUUUAAGUUUCAAUGAUGGACAAAGAUAAGCCUCUCAAACAACUACACACACAAACACUUAGGUUGCCUGAUACAUCUGGAAACUACAGAGAAGGUAUGACUCAAGCUUCUUCUGCUGCUUUUGCUCUUUAUGAUCAGAGGUUAUUUUAAGUUGGCAUCCUGCUAUGGCAACAUAUUGCAGGUGCUUCUAACACAUUUUCAGUGAAGAAAUCACCUCCAAGAUUAAGAUAUUUAUAUGGGGAUAUAAAGAACGUUGGCAUAGUUUCUGCUCAAGUUUCUGAACCUUGGUAAAUGCUGUACUUUUAUUCAAAUUAAUGAGCUUGCUCAGUUCAGUACUUACCAUUCACCUAAUAUUUCCUACCACAAAGAAAGGAAAAUCCAGUUCUAUCAUCAUCCAUUGACCAAACCACCUUUCUCACUUCUAAUGCUUUUUAGUAUGUUGUUGUUGAAAAAAAAUUACCCUUUGCCAAUGAACCCCUAAGAUUAUUCUGCUAUAAACGAUGGUUCAAAAUUGAAAAAUUCCCACUUCAUUUUUAAUAUGAAAAUUCAUAAGAUAUGACUGAUUUAGCUCCAGCUUACCAGUUAAACUCCAGUUUUGCACCACCUCAUUUAUGUCCACACUGGCCAAGUGAUGUCAGCGGGAAACAGUCCACACAAGAAUGGACCUAUAUGAAUUCUAAUUUGGGAUUGAAGCUGCUAUUUUACUUAUAGUUUUCAAAAUUUGCAUAUACUAUUUUUCCACUGUAAUGUAAGUAAGACUUCAAUCACAAGGAUAGAAUAAAACUGGCAUUGAAAAUGCAGGGCUUUCCAUGCACGACACACCUGGUGAGGCUGACAUAAGAAGGCCAACUGUCAAUUCUAGCCUCUAAUUCUAGUGUCUCUUCCUCCCCGAUUUCAGUUUAUUAUGUGUUUUAAUGGAGUGUUUCAUUUUAAAUUUUGGAGACUCUAUUGGUUAAAACUAAUUCUGUUGUUUUAUUACAAUAUCAGUUUAAUUAU